UAACGGCCAACAAUCCUGUGUUCCAUGACCACCCCGAACUAGAGAUAGAGCCUCUUGUCAAACAGAGAAGAGUGCCAGGUUCUGCCUGGCCGUUCUUUCCUUGUUUCUUGAGAUUUUGGGUUAAGUCCCGCAACGAGCGCAACCCUUUUCUUUAGUUCCCAUCGUUUAGGUGGGGCAUUUUAGGGGGACUCCCGUUGCCAAACGGAAGGAAGUUGGGGAGGAGUUCAAUUCUUCAUGGCCUUUAUGUCCAGGGUUCCACACUUGUUCCAAUGGCGGUUCCAAAGGGUGGCAAACCGCCAAGUGAAGCCAUUCGAGAAGCCGGUCUCAGUCCGAUGCAGUCUGCACUCGAUGCA
rnacentral:rRNA from 1 species